AGAGAGUCAGGUUUCACCACAGCCAUGUGGAACGUGUCUCCCGGGAAGGGACAGACUCUAGUUUCAGAUGCCACCCUGCCAGGUGGUCCAGCUUACCUACGGAUAUGGUCCACACCGCAAUGAUUUUCAGGAAGGCUUUGGUUCUGGAGUUGAAGCGGCUAUGGUGAAUGGGGUUCUGGAUAGCCACGUAGCGGUCCAGGGAGAUGGCGCAGAGGUGCAUGAUGGACGCCGUGGAGAAGAGCACAUCCAGGUAAAUCCAGACGGCACAGAGCUUGCUGGGCAAAGGCCACCGGUACCCUGUGGGGCAGAAGUUUAGCAUCAGUGAAUAGCUAGCUUCGUGCUUUCUGCAGCGUGUAAUCUAUACCCCAGGACUUACAACUUGGGGACAGGUAGAGGUGACAGGCAAGGGAACUACAAGAGACUUUCAAUAUUUAAACCAACAGCCAGUGUGCACUGUGAUGGCACGGGCAGGGGAGUGCAGGGUUGAAGGUUUCUGACCUGUGGAAUUGCAUUAAUGAAGGAGGAAUUUGCUUUUUCCUCUGGAAUGGAGUCUCUCUCACCCUCUACCUGGUCAAAGCCACUUUUAUUUAGCAAUGUGUCCAAAGUUAUGUUCUGAGCCCUUCAAUUGAUGUUGCCGGUCACAUACAGCCUUUAUUUAUCCACAUAAUUUUCUUUGGGGUUAGGGUCCCUAUAGCUAGUCUAAUCUUAGUCACUCUUAGACAUGUCCAGUCUCACAUAGACAGGCAAUUAGUGGCUGUGUGACGAAUCGUCUUCAAAUCUCUUGAAUGUCUUUUUUUAUGGUGCACAGUCCCUUAAUGUGUCUUAUUAAAUUUGGGGCAUGUGAGAAACAUUGAGGAUGGUGAAGAAUAUCAAGGGUAUCUGGACUUGGAGCUUUGUCUCAGGGCAGUGCUCAAACUACAGGUGACAGCUGGUUUUCGCAGGUGGCUCCUUAAAAUGGAGACCCACCUCUGGCGAUUCUGCUUCCGUAAGUCUGGAACAGGCUGGGAAAUGUGCAUUUUC
rnacentral:lncRNA from 1 species